UGAGGUAUAGCUCAGUGAUAGAGUGUGUGCUUAACAAGUACAAGGUCCUGGGUUCAACCCCCAGUGCCUCCA
rnacentral:tRNA from 1 species